CUGGCUGGAUGCAUCAUGUGAUCAGAUACCUGGGCGUGGAGCUAGCGUUCAGUGUGUUAUUCGGGAACGGGAAUCCCGGAACCGCAGAUCUCUGUCUCUCCACGUGUGAGUGACAUGUGAACUUUCCGUGCACCGGGAAUCUAUUCUUCUCAGUCUGAAGGGAAUCCGUGGUCUGGACGCUGCAACUACUGCCAAGGCGGGAAGGGGAUGCUGGGUAACGAAGGCCACGCCUGUUUGGCAGAGCGCUGACGUCCGUCGCUCAUCUCCCGGGAACGGCGGCAAGGUCAGGCGCGGCGGAACGGAAAGAGCGUCUGGAGCAUUAAAUACGGAUCAGAUUCAACACACACACAGUUCUCACUCAUGUGGAUGAAUUAGAU
rnacentral:lncRNA from 1 species